AUUGAACGCUGGUGGCAGGCCUAACACAUGCAAGUCGAGCGGUAGCACAGAGAGCUUGCUCUCGGGUGACGAGCGGCGGACGGGUGAGUAAUGUCUGGGAAACUGCCUGAUGGAGGGGGAUAACUACUGGAAACGGUAGCUAAUACCGCAUAAUGUCGCAAGACCAAAGUGGGGGACCUUCGGGCCUCAUGCCAUCAGAUGUGCCCAGAUGGGAUUAGCUAGUAGGUGGGGUAACGGCUCACCUAGGCGACGAUCCCUAGCUGGUCUGAGAGGAUGACCAGCCACACUGGAACUGAGACACGGUCCAGACUCCUACGGGAGGCAGCAGUGGGGAAUAUUGCACAAUGGGCGCAAGCCUGAUGCAGCCAUGCCGCGUGUGUGAAGAACGCCUUCGGGUUGUAAAGCACUUUCAGCGGGGAGGAAGGCGGUGAGGUUAAUAACCUCAUCGAUUGACGUUACCCGCAGAAGAGGCACCGGCUAACUCCGUGCCAGCAGCCGCGGUAAUACGGAGGGUGCAAGCGUUAAUCGGAAUUACUGGGCGUAAAGCGCACGCAGGCGGUCUGUCAAGUCGGAUGUGAAAUCCCCGGGCUCAACCUGGGAACUGCAUUCGAAACUGGCAGGCUAGAGUCUUGUAGAGGGGGGUAGAAUUCCAGGUGUAGCGGUGAAAUGCGUAGAGAUCUGGAGGAAUACCGGUGGCGAAGGCGGCCCCCUGGACAAAGACUGACGCUCAGGUGCGAAAGCGUGGGGAGCAAACAGGAUUAGAUACCCUGGUAGUCCACGCCGUAAACGAUGUCGAUUUGGAGGUUGUGCCCUUGAGGCGUGGCUUCCGGAGCUAACGCGUUAAAUCGACCGCCUGGGGAGUACGGCCGCAAGGUUAAAACUCAAAUGAAUUGACGGGGGCCCGCACAAGCGGUGGAGCAUGUGGUUUAAUUCGAUGCAACGCGAAGAACCUUACCUGGUCUUGACAUCCACAGAACUUUCCAGAGAUGGAUUGGUGCCUUCGGGAACUGUGAGACAGGUGCUGCAUGGCUGUCGUCAGCUCGUGUUGUGAAAUGUUGGGUUAAGUCCCGCAACGAGCGCAACCCUUAUCCUUUGUUGCCAGCGGUUAGGCCGGGAACUCAAAGGAGACUGCCAGUGAUAAACUGGAGGAAGGUGGGGAUGACGUCAAGUCAUCAUGGCCCUUACGACCAGGGCUACACACGUGCUACAAUGGCAUAUACAAAGAGAAGCGACCUCGCGAGAGCAAGCGGACCUCAUAAAGUAUGUCGUAGUCCGGAUUGGAGUCUGCAACUCGACUCCAUGAAGUCGGAAUCGCUAGUAAUCGUAGAUCAGAAUGCUACGGUGAAUACGUUCCCGGGCCU
rnacentral:rRNA from 1 species